rnacentral:lncRNA from 1 species
AUGAGAAAGAACUCCCUGGACACCAGGCGGCAGGAGGAGAGGGGAGGGAGGCCAGGGCCGCAGCACAGCACAGGGGUGGCUAGAGGCAAGGGGGGGACAGGCAUCAGAGGACCCGUGUGGAGGGGAAAUGGCCGGGAGUUUGUUGACAGGGGAGACAGAAGGUGGUCUCGGGGCUUCUACAGGGCCCGGGGCUCUGAUCAUGAACAGAGUGCUCACAGACGUCGGGGGAUGCUGGGUGGGUGGAAGAUGAGGGAUGAGGGAGAGAUGGAGGGAAGGAUCCUGGGACAAGGGACAGCAAGAAUAAACCAGGUUAAGGAUGCAGACAGACGCCUGCGCGACCCUGUGCUGCUCACCACCGUGUGGCUGGACUUCCUCUGGGCCACGGCGGGUGGGAGCUUGGAUCCAAGGAAUCAGAGAACUACAGGACUUCAGAGCGCAACUCCACACGCACCCAGAAGAGAGGACGCUCUGGGGAGAGGCGGCCGCGUGCCACAGGUGCACGGGCACGCACAGCCUCCAGCACGAGUCAAUACCUCUCCUCCAGAGAAGCGAGGGAAGGGGCAGAGGCGCGCAAGAUGCCGCCAGACGCCGGAGGAGAGAGGGCUGCGACGUCAGCAAGGAAGUCGGAAAGAAGAGGGCAUGGACGUGCGCACAGACAGACGGCGGGGCCAGGCAGAGGCCAGCGAGAGCUCCCGCAAACACCUGGAGCCCAGCAGGUGGUCGCCCCGCACAGGGCACUGGGAGAUGCUCCAUGCCUUGGGCUGGUUGGGUGGGGGAAGUAACCCACACUGGAGACAAAACCUGGGAAAGAGCCCAGAGAAAGUUCUAGAUGCCUUCUGCUGGCUGCUGCAGGCCCCUCUCCACCCUUCUCUGCUCCAGGAGGCUGCCCCUGCCGACUCUCCUCAGUGGGCUCCCCUGGCCCCUGGCUCCUGCCUGGGCUUGGCCAACAGGCUGCCCUGGCAGGAGGCAGGUGGGGAGGAGACUGGGAGGAAGGUGUUUGUCCCCCUGGGUCCCAGUAGGCUGUGUGGUCACAGCGGAUCUGUCCGCCUCUGGGCUGAGUAUCUCAGGUCAUGGCUGGGGUUUGGGCCCUUUGCCCCCAACAGAGCACAUAGUAGGUGUUCGACAUGUGCUUGCUGA